CACGUAUGGUGCGAGCGUUUUCCGGAAUUAUGGGGCGUAAAGAGCUCGUAGGCGGUGUGUCGCGUCGUCCGUGAAAACCUGCAGCUUAACUGUGGGCUUGCGGUCGAUACGGGCAUCACUGGAGUUCGGCAGGGGAGACUGGAAUUCCUGGUGUAGCGGUGAAAUGCGCAGAUAUCAGGAGGAACACCGGUGGCGAAGGCGGGUCUCUGGGCCGAUACUGACGCUGAGGAGCGAAAGCGUGGGGAGCGAACAGG
rnacentral:rRNA from 1 species